ACUCUUGCUGCAAACAUUGGGAUCAGCCGUGACUAUCCCAUAACAUAAUAUUUCUGAUUUCAUUCUUUUCCUUUCUCCUACCAAUUUAAUCUGCAAUCACUUCAAGAGAAGUCUGUUUAAAGGAUAUUCACAUUCUGUUCACAGAGUUUGAGAGAAACUGUAUUCAAGUUGCUGAAACCAAGAAGCUACACUCACGAGUCUCACCUAAACUCGAAUCUGAUUUAGAUGACAUCAUCCUGGACUUUGAGUUGAUGAAACCUUGGAGGUCUUGGGAGUAAAGCAAGUGUGAUUUGCAUAUGAUGGAUAUGAAUUGUAAUGGCCAGAGCAUGGCUGUGGUAGGUAACAUCUAGAGAUGGCCACCAUUAUUUUUUUUUUCCUCUAUCCGCACAUACUACUUCUCCUGUACUCUUGAAACUGGGAUGAAAUUAGCAACUUUGUUAACCAAUAUAAUGUGCCACAGAAGUGACUUUUGCGACUUGUGAGGUUAGAUCUUAAGAAGUCUUGUAUCUUCUUUCUGGAUCACUUGGAAUGCUUACUACGGGAACCAAGCCACUGUUCUAUGAGAAGUGCAAGUCACAUGGAGAAACCAUGUUUUGGCAAGCUAGUCUGCAUCUUCAGAUUCCGGUGCAGUCCUCUGACCAUAUUGGGAAGGAUAUGUAAAAUGAUACGAGUUUCAGGGAAUAAGAAUGGGGGUGAGAGGAAUCACUGAGGAUGCCCAAGGACAAAGCAGCCGGAACAAGUUUAUAGCUCAGCAGUCCCAAGAUGGCCGAAUAGGAACAGCUCCAGUCUACAGCUCCCAGCGUGAGUGAUGCAGAAGAUGGGUGACUUCUGCAUUUCCAACCAAGGUACCGGGUUUAUCUCACUGGGGCUUGUUGGACAGUGGGUGCAAUCCACGAAGUGUGAGCCAAAGCAGGGCGGGGCAUCACCUCACCCAGGAAGUGCAAGAGGUCGGGGAAUUCCCUUUCCUAGCUGAGGGAAGCCAUGACAGAUGGUACCUGGAAAAUCGGGACACUCCCAUCCUGAUACUGCACUUUUCCAAAGGUCUUAGCAAAUGGCACACCAGGAGAUUAUAUCCCACGCCUGGCUCAGAGGGUCCCACGCCCACGGAGCCUCGCUCACUGCUAGCACAGCAGUCUGAGACUGAACUGCAAGGUGGCAAUGAGGCUGGGGGAGGGGGGUCCACCAUUGCUGACGUUUGAGUAGGUAAACAAAACACUCCAGCCUGGGCGACGGACUGAGACUCUGUCUCAAAAAAAAAAAAAAGAAGACAUUUAUGCAGCCAACAGACACAUGAAAAAAUGCUCAUCGUCACUGGCCAUCAGUACUGGAGAGGAUGUGGAGAAAUAGGAACACUUUUACACUGUUGGUGGGACUGUAAACUAGUUCAACCAUUGUGGAAGACAGUGUGGCGAUUCCUCAAGGAUCUAGAACUAGAAAUACCAUUUGACCCAGCCAUCUCAUUACUGGGUAUAUACCCAAAGGAGUAUAAAUCAUGCUGCUAUAAAGACACAUGUACAUGUAUGUUUAUUGUGGCAUUAUUCACAAUUGCAAAGACUUGGAACCAACCCAAAUGUCCAUCAAUGAUAGACUGGAUUAAGAAAAUGUGGCACAUAUACACCAUGGAAUACUGUGCAGCCAUAAAAAAGGAUGAGUUCAUGCCCUUUGUAGGGACACAGAUGAAGCUGGAAACCAUUCUGAGCAAACUAUCGCAAGGACAAAAAACCAAACACUGCAUGUUCUCACUCAUAGGUGGGAAUUGAACAAUGAGAACACUUGGACACAGGGUGGGGAACAUCACACACCGGGGCCUGUUGUGGGGUGGGGGGAGGGGGGAAGGAUAGCAUUAGGAGAUAUACCUAAUGUAAAUGACGAGUUAAUGGGUGCAGCACACCAACAAGGCACAUGUACACAUAUGUAACAGCUGCACGUUGUGCACGUGUACCCUAGAACUUAAAGUAUA
rnacentral:lncRNA from 10 species